GAGGCAGAUGAAGAAAUAGAUGGUGUAGAAAAAGAAAGAAAUAUGCUAAAGGCCUGGAUCUGGACUCCGUGUAAAGGAGAGAGCUAGAUGGGCAGCAGCCUUCGUUGUCUCCUGCUUCCUGACGAUGGACACCCUAUGACCACCUGCCUCAAUUCUCUAGCUGUCAUGAUGUCUCCACUAUGACUGGGAUGUACCCUAGAACUGAAACAACACUGCUCUGCCUGCAGCAGCCAUCCUCACACUCCACAUCACCACCAACAGUGCAUCAUUGUCGAGUUCUCUACUGUCCAUCAAACGUGUGGCUUGCGUUCUGCUGGGUAAUUGGUGAUUUUGAUAAGAAUGGCCCCCCCACUCUCUCCAGUUUCUUUUUGAAGGCACUUAGGGCUAUAAAUUUUCCUCUUAGGACUGCCUUCAUUGUGUCCCAUAAGUUUGGGUAUGUUGUGGCUUCAUUUUCAUUAAACUCUUAAAAGUCU
ensembl:processed_transcript Gm12720 predicted gene 12720